rnacentral:rRNA from 1 species
GCGGAGGAAAAGAAACCAACAGGGAUUGCCUCAGUAACGGCGAGUGAAGCGGCAAAAGCUCAAAUUUUAAAGCCGGCAUCUUCGGUGCCCGCGUUGUAAUUUUGUGAGGCAUCUCCGGGUAGGGCGCCAGCCUAAGUUCCUUGGAACAGGACGUCACAGAGGGUGAGAAUCCCGUGCUUGGCUGGCUGUCCCCGUCCACGUGAGGUGUCUUCGACGAGUCGAGUUGUUUGGGAAUGCAGCUCAAAAUGGGUGGUAAAUUUCAUCUAAAGCUAAAUAUUGGUGGGAGACCGAUAGCGCACAAGUAGAGUGAUCGAAAGAUGAAAAGCACUUUGAAAAUAGAGUUAAAAAGUACGUGAAAUUGUUGAAAGGGAAGCGCUUGAGACCAGACUUCGGUAGGGGGUGAUCAGCCGUCCUUCUGGGCGGUGCACUUGCCCCCCUCCGGGCCAGCAUCGGUUGAGGCGGCGGGAUAAAGGUCCCGGGAAUGUGGCUCCUUCACGGGAGUGUUAUAGCCCGGGUGAAUGCCGCCAGCCUCGACCGAGGACCGCGCCCGCAAGGGUUAGGAUGCUUGGCAUAAUGGUCUUCAGCGACCCGUCU